UCUUUACCUGGGGAUCUAAUAGAGGUAAAAACUAAUUGAUGCAGUAUUGGAAGAGGACUAACUUAGGAAUUAUAUUCAUUGUAGAAUUAUAAAGUUCAAGAAUUUAUUAGGUUUGAAAUUUAUUAUUUAUAGAAUUCUAUUGUGUUUUUUAUUAUUUUCCUAUUUUAAGUUUGUUUAGAAUUCUUAAUGUUUGAUUAGCAUUUGCUGUUCCUAUUGAUAUUUUUCCAGCAUUUAAAAUUUCUGAAGGAUUUACAUUUUUUGAUAUAGGCAACCCCUACUUGUUUGGGAUUAAGGCUUAGU
rnacentral:misc_RNA from 1 species